AAGUCUAUGGUACUUUCUAUGGAAGUUUUUAGAAGUCUAAAGAGGCUUCUAGAAGAGUAUGGAACUUUUUAAAUGAUUGUGGAAGAUUCUAUAAGUAUCUAAAAGGUUCUAAAAAUUUGUAAAAGAUUUUAGAAGGUCCUAGAAUAUGAUAAUUUGGAAUAUGUCUAUGUCAAGAAUUGUGCUUUUAUAGCUGCUAGUAAGUACUAAUGAUGUCAUUAGAUUAAUAAUAAUAUUAUCAUAGUAAAUUUGAUGAUGAUAAAAUGAUAUAAUGUUGAGUAAUUGAUAGAAUCCAAAAAUUAGACACCACAUUCAAAAAAUUGUUUUAAUACUAUUCCAAAUUAAAUUGGUCAUAGCUCCACAAUUACCAAAUAGAUUUUUUUCAACCUAGGUUCAUUUGGUAGCUGUAAAGGAGUACUUUAUUUGCUAUAUAAACCACGUGUCAUUAUUCACUACAAUUCAUCAAUAAUACACCAUUCUUUCUAAAAUAUGUCAACAUUAAAAUAAUUUUUUGAGUCACUAUGUAAUGUCUAAUAGAAGUUAUAUAUGUAUUUAAACACUCUUUUAGUAUUCUUAUUUAAUUACAUAAUAUAUUAAUCUAAUUUAAUUA
rnacentral:lncRNA from 1 species